UCUGAAAGCAGGUAAGCCACUGACUAACGCACAUUGCGCCUAUUCUCCACUCCACUGUGCGUGUGACAGCGGCUAACCAGCUUUUGGAUCUGCACCUG
rnacentral:pre_miRNA from 8 species